rnacentral:lncRNA from 10 species
GCAAUAUUGGACCUUGGUUGGUGUCUGGGAACUUGGAUUUCAACAGGGUUCCCAGUGUUCCCUGAUAAGAGUGCCUCCCUGUGUAUAAACUGUUUGUAUAAACAAUGUGGUUUAUGAUGAACAUUUGCUUCUCCUCUGGGACUCUAGAAUUUUGGUAUGGGCUAGGCAGAGGGUGACCAUAUGACCAGCCUCCAACAUGAAACUCUGGGCAUUGAAUCUCUACUGACCUGCUCAGAGAUGGGGCCCCACUUUGCUGUCCAGCCUUGGUUCAAAACUCCUAGGUUCAAAUGGUCCUCCUGUCUCAGCCUCCUAAAGUUCUGGGAUUACAGCACUGGGGAAGAAGCAUUUCUAACAGGAGCCUGCAUGCUGAGGAUGGCAGAGGAAAAAGACAGAGCCAUACUGAGCCCUUGGAGAUGCCACUGAGGAGCUACGCUAACCAAUCCUGGAGGCACCAUAACCUAGGACUUCUUCUUAUACAAGGAUGCUAGAGAGCAGUCUUCAGCCUGAGACCCAUCUCUAGAGUCUUAAUACCUUUAUUUUAUGCUAUUGACAGCUUCUAACAACUCAGUAUACUCCUAUGAACAAAAUUUGGAGCAUAUUUGUUUCUCUCUACCUGAUUUCUUCAGACUGUGGAAACUAUUUGAAUCAAACUUGACUUAUGGAUCCAAUAAAGCCCUUGGAAAAACUGGCCUCAUAUUUUGUGUAAACAGUCCCCGUACAGGGUUUCUGACUUGUGUUUUCCUAAUUUGGAAUCACUGAAAACUAAGUUUUGCUUUCUUAAAACCCUGUGAACUGAAGCCAGACAACUUAAACUUCAGAAGAAAAUAACAGCAACCUAUUUGCAUACAUAAGCCACUUGCAUACCUGCCUACUAAUGUAUGGACUUCAGAGUAAUGUGGCUGAUAUACAUUUUUCCAGGAUUGUUCUUUUGUUUAUUGUUGUUUUUCUCCCUUCUUCCCCCAAUUUUCUCUUCAUAGGACAUGAGACUUCACAGCCUGCUAAAAAUAAGCUUUUGGGACCUACCCAUUUAGGAAUAAACAGUCCUAGCCUUGAGAGAUCAGAUGAAAUCUGAGGCCAGAGACUCAUUUUCUUCUAAAAUGCUUUCUCCAAAAGAUUUUUAAAUAGAAAAGAGGGGAAAUGUGAAAGGAAAAUGUCUUCAGCCCCUUCAAGCUGGGAACUCUCAGUACAAAUCUGUCUCUCAUUCUAUUCAAAGUCAUUUCUCUGCUCAGAGAUAGAUGCAUAUUCUGAUUGCCUUCUUUGGAAAGACUUACCAGAAACUCAAAAGAAUGCAACCAUCUGUCUCUCACCUACCUGUGACCUGGAAGCCCAUAGGGUAAAGGGGGCUUGCUUUGAGUUGUCUCUACUUUUCUGAAUGGAAUGAAUGUACUUCUUACAUUUAUUGAUUGAUGUCUCAUGUUUCCCUAAAAUGUAUAAAACCAAUCUGUGCCCCGGCCACCCUGGGCAUGUGUUGUCAGGACUUCCUAAGGCUAUGUCACAGGUGCAUCCUCAACUUUGGCAAAUAAACUUUCUAAAUUAACUGAGACCUCUCUCAGAUUUUCUGGGUUCACUAUUCCUACUUGGAAAAUUGUCGAUAU